GACGAACGCUGGCGGCGUGCUUAACACAUGCAAGUCGAACGAAAAGAGGGAAAGAGCUUGCUCUUUCCGGAAUUGAGUGGCAAACGGGUGAGUAACACGUAAACAACCUGCCUCCAGGAUGGGGACAACAGACGGAAACGACUGCUAAUACCGAAUAAGUUCCAAGAGCCGCAUGGCCCAUGGAAGAAAAGGUGGCCUCUACCUGUAAGCUAUCGCCUGAAGAGGGGUUUGCGUCUGAUUAGCUGGUUGGAGGGGUAACGGCCCACCAAGGCGACGAUCAGUAGCCGGUCUGAGAGGAUGAACGGCCACACUGGAACUGAGACACGGUCCAGACUCCUACGGGAGGCAGCAGUGGGGAAUCUUCCGCAAUGGGCGAAAGCCUGACGGAGCAACGCCGCGUGAGUGAUGACGGCCUUCGGGUUGUAAAACUCUGUGAUCCGGGACGAAAAGGCAGAGUGCGAAGAACAAACUGCAUUGACG
rnacentral:rRNA from 1 species